rnacentral:rRNA from 1 species
AAGGGCUGAGGCGGCAUGUCUCCUCAGCCGCUUCAGGAUGGGGCUGCGGCCGAUCAGGUAGUUGGUGGGGUAAUGGCCCACCAAGCCUAUAACCGGUACGGGCUUUGGAAGAAGGAGCCCGGAGCAUGGACACUGAGAUAAGGGUCCAGGCCCUACGGGGCGCAGCAGGCGCGAAACCUUCGCAAUGCGCGAAAGCGCGACGAGGCUACUCUGAGUGCCAUCCGCUGAGGAUGGCUUUUCUCGGGUGUAAAAAGCCCGAGGAAUAAGGGGAGGGCAAGUCUGGUGUCAGCCGCCGCGGUAAUACCAGCUCCUCGAGUGGUUGGGGCGUUUAUUGGGCCUAAAGCAUCCGUAGCCGGCUCCGUAAGUCCUCCGUUAAAUCCAACGGCUCAACCGUUGGGCUGCGGAGGAUACUGUGGGGCUAGGGGGCGGGAGAGGCGGACGGUAUUCCCUGGGUAGGGGUAAAAUCCACUGAUCCAGGGAGGACCACCAGUGGCGAAGGCGGUCCGCCAGAACGCGCCCGACGGUGAGGGAUGAAAGCUGGGGGAGCGAACCGGAUUAGAUACCCGGGUAGUCCCAGCCGUAAACGAUGCGGGCUAGGUGAUGGAGCGGCUACGUGCCGUUCCAGUGCCGCAGGGAAGCCGUUAAGCCCGCCGCCUGGGGAGUACGGCCGCAAGGCUGAAACUUAAAGGAAUUGGCGGGGGGGCACCACAAGGGGUGAAGCCUGCGGUUUAAUUGGAGUCAACGCCGGGAACCUUACCGGGGGAGACAGCAGGAUGAAGGUCAGGCUGAAGACUUUACCAGACGAGCUGAGAGGAGGUGCAUGGCCGUCGCCAGCUCGUGCCGUGAGGCGUCCUGUUAAGUCAGGCAACGAGCGAGACCCCCGCCGCUAAUUGCUACCACCGUCCGAAAGGUCGGUGGGGCUAGUUAGCGGGACUGCCGCCGUUGAGGCGGAGGAAGGAGGGGGCUACGGCAGGUCAGUAUGCCCCGAAACCCCCGGGCCACACGCGGGCUGCAAUGGUAGGGACAAUGGGCUCCGACCUCGAGAGAGGGAGGCAAUCCCCAAACCCUACCCCAGUUAUGACUGAGGGCUGCAACCCGCCCUCACGAAU